GCAUAACGCGAAGAACCUUACCUGGCCUUGACAUUGAUAGAAUCUGCUAGAGAUAGCGGAGUGCCCUUCGGGGGGCUUGAAAACAGGUGCUGCACGGCUGUCGUCAGCUCGUGUCGUGAGAUGUUGGGUUAAGUCCCGCAACGAGCGCAACCCUCGUCACUAGUUACUAACGGUUCGGCCGAGGACUCUAGUGAGACUGCCUUCGUAAGGAGGAGGAAGGUGAGGACGACGUCAAGUCAUCAUGGCCCUUACGGCCAGGGCGACACACGUGCUACAAUGGGAUGUACAAUGAGACGCAAUACCGCGAGGUGGAGCAAAUCUAUAAAACAUCUCUCAGUUCGGAUUGUAGUCUGCAACUCGACUACAUGAAACUGGAAUCACUAGUAAUCGUAGAUCAGCCAUGCUACGGUGAAUACGUUCCCGGGUCUUGUACACACCG
rnacentral:rRNA from 1 species